CGGCGAGUGAAGCGGCAACAGCUCAAAUUUGAAAUCUGGCCCCCCCGGGGUCCGAAUUGUAAUUUGCAGAAGGUGCUUCGGGCGCGACGGCGGUCCAAGUUCCUUGGAAUCGGACGUCUAAGAGGGUGAGAAUCCCGUAUUUGGCCGAUCGUCAAGCCCACUGCGAAGCCCUUUCGACGAGUCGAGUUGUUUGGGAAUGCAGCUCCAAGCGGGUGGUAAAUUUCAUCUAAAGCUAAAUACCUGCCAGAGACCGAUAGCGCACAAGUAGAGUGAUCGAAAGAUGAAAAGCACUUUGAAAAGAGAGUCAAACAGCGCGUGAAAUUGUUGAAGGGGAAGCGCUUGCAACCAGACUCGCACGCGGGGGCUCAGCCGUUCCUCGGGACGGUGCACUCCCCCGCGAUCGGGCCAGCAUCGGUUUCGGCGGCCGGACAAAGGCCCGGGGAAAGUAACUCCUUCGCGGGAGUGUUACAGCCCCG
rnacentral:rRNA from 1 species